UACGGAGGGUGCAAGCGUUAUCCGGAUUUACUGGGUUUAAAGGGUGCGCAGGCGGAUAUGUAAGUCAGUGGUGAAAUCUCUAGGCUUAACCUGGAAAUUGCCAUUGAUACUAUAUGUCUUGAAUGCUGUGGAGGUAAGCGGAAUAUGUCAUGUAGCGGUGAAAUGCUUAGAUAUCGAGAGGAACACCGGUGGCGAAGGCGGCCAACUGGACGAAUACUGACGCUGAGGAGCGAAAGCGUGGGGAGCGAACAGG
rnacentral:rRNA from 1 species